rnacentral:rRNA from 1 species
UACGGAGGGAGCUAGCGUUGUUCGGAAUUACUGGGCGUAAAGCGCACGUAGGCGGCUUUGCAAGUCAGAGGUGAAAGCCUGGAGCUCAACUCCAGAAUUGCCUUUGAGACUGCAUCGCUUGAACACGGGAGAGGUGAGUGGAAUUCCGAGUGUAGAGGUGAAAUUCGUAGAUAUUCGGAAGAACACCAGUGGCGAAGGCGGCUCACUGGACCGUAGUUGACGCUGAGGUGCGAAAGCGUGGGGAGCAAACAGG